ACGCCGUGCGGAUUGCGCGCUCCGCCAGAAAUGUGAAAUCGAUCGCAGCCGAUUAUAACAAUCUGGUGCGGAGCGUGCGACCUUUCAAUAGAGUGGUUGCAGAUGCAGCACCGGAGGUGCCGGUUCAGGCUGUUCAAAGUCGGCUCGAAGAAUUGGUUAGCAGCCGUGGUCGACUUUGAUUUCGUGAGUGAAAGAAAACAAAGAUUU